GUCUACGGCCAUGCCACCCUGAAAAAGCCCGAUCUCGUCUGAUCUCAGAAGCUAAACAGGGUCGGGUCUGGUUAGUACUUGGAUGGGAGACCACCUAGGAAGAACGAGUACUGUAGAUG
rnacentral:rRNA from 1 species